GACGAACGCUGGCGGCGUGCUUAAUACAUGCAAGUCGAGCGAAAAGAUCCUGCUCUUGUUCCGUGCACGAGUGGCGCACGGGUGAGUAUAACGUGUGGAAACUCUCCUUGUAUUUGGGAUAACUUUUCGAGACAGCGGCUCAUACCGGGUAGGAGAUCCUGCUCCAUGGUGUGCGUUGGUAAGUUUCGGCGGUUGGGGAGGGACUCGCGGGUUAUCCGCUUGUUGGUGUGGUUGUGGCUUACCAAGGCUUUGACGGGUAGCCGGCCUGAGAGGGUGACCGGCCACAUGGGGACUGAGAGACGGCCCAGAGACCUACGGGAGGCAACAGGGGGAAAUAUUGCAGAAUGGGCGGAAGCCUGAUGCAGCAACGCCGCGUGCGGGAUGACGGCUUUCGGGGGGUAAACCGAUUUCGCAUGUGACGAAGCGGGAGUGAGGGUAAUGGGUAAAGAAGCACCGGCUAACUACGUG
rnacentral:rRNA from 1 species